rnacentral:rRNA from 1 species
UACAGAGGCCUCGAGCGUUAGGCGGAAUCACUGGGCUUAAAGCGUGUGUAGGCGGAUGCCUAAGUACCUUGUGAAAUCCCACGGCUCACCCGUGGAACUGCUUGGUAUACUGGGUGUCUUGAGCCACUUAGGGGCUACCGGAACAAAUGGUGGAGCGGUGAAAUGCGUAGAUAUCAUUUGGAACGCCAACGGUGAAAACAGGUAGCUGGGAGUGUGCUGACGCUGAGACACGAAAGCCAGGGGAGCAAACGGG